rnacentral:rRNA from 1 species
UACGGGGGGGGUAAGCGUUGUUCGGAAUUACUGGGCGUAAAGGGCUCGUAGGCGGCCAACUAAGUCAGACGUGAAAUCCCUCAGCUUAACUGGGGAACUGCGUCUGAUACUGGAUGGCUUGGAUUCGGGAGAGGAAUGCGGAAUUCCAGGUGUAGCGGUGAAAUGCGUAGAUAUCUGGAGGAACACCGGUGGCGAAGGCGGCAUCCUGGACCGGCAUUGACGCUGAACAGCGAAAGCCAGGGGAGCAAACGGG